rnacentral:misc_RNA from 1 species
GAUGAAGAACGCAGCGAAAUGCGAUAAGUAAUGUGAAUUGCAGAAUUCAGUGAAUCAUCGAAUCUUUGAACGCACAUUGCGCCCCUUGGUAUUCCGAGGGGCAUGCCUGUUCGAGCGUCAUUAUAACCCUCAAGCUCAGCUUGGUGUUGGGGCCUGCUGCACUGGCAGCCCUUAAAAUCAGUGGCGGCGCCAUCUGGCUCUAAGCGUAGUAAUUCUUCUCGCUAUGGAGUCCUGGUGGAUGCUUGCCAUCAACCCCCAAUUUUGCUAUGGUUGACCUCGGAUCAGGUAGGGAUACCCGCUGAACUUAAGCAUAUCAAUAAGCGGAGGA